rnacentral:rRNA from 1 species
UAACGGCCUACCAAGUCGACGAUCCAUAGCCGGACUGAGAGGUUGAACGGCCACAUUGGGACUGAGACACGGCCCAGACUCCUACGGGAGGCAGCAGUGGGGAAUAUUGCACAAUGGGGGAAACCCUGAUGCAGCAACGCCGCGUGAGGGAAGAAGGUUUUCGGAUUGUAAACCUCUGUCCUUGGUGACGAUAAUGACGGUAGCCAAGGAGGAAGCCACGGCUAACUAC